GGAGGGGUGCCGGAGCGGUCGAACGGGCUGGUUUCGAAAACCAGUGAGGAGGCAACUCUUCCGGGGGUUCGAAUCCCCCCCCCUCCG
rnacentral:tRNA from 1 species